UCUUAAGUGUUUCAUUUUGUCUUCACCUUGAAGUCUUUUCUGUGCACUUGCCCAAUACUAGGCCUCUUCUCGGGAUAAAUCCAGAGUGUGAGGAAAAUAAAGCGAAAGAAUUUAUGCACCAGGAGAUGGCAAUGGUGAUCUACAAUAGCAUCAAUCUAGCUGCGCAACAUUCAUAUUGUCUUCAGGCAAGCAAACAAGCCCAGUCUUCUAUGAGCGAAGCCUGGACACAUCGCUCCAUUUCUGCUCCUUAUCCUUGAGUUGUUCGGGUUAUUACUAAUCACUGUCAAGAGUUCUGCUUUAUUUUUUAUUGAAAUUACUGUUCGUGGUAGUAUUUUUUAACGAGCCGAUGUGUCUAAAUCAGAUCUUCUCUCCCAGUAUUGCAGAAGCUGUGAUGUCAUUUAAAAAAAAACACCAGAAGACAGAUACUAUUGAAUUAAACAUGCCAGUUGUCGAGGGAAGAAGAAAAAUCAAAUUAUCCUUGGAAGUCAGUGCCUGGAGGUGGAAGUUGGCAGUUGAUACUGUGAAGUAAUACAGUUGGAGACAUGGAUCAGAAGAUAUUAAAUUUUGCUGCCACUGAGAAAAUCCUUACAUUGUAGAAUAAGAGGCCAUGUAGCACAAGAUUUGGAGAAGGUGGUGUACAAAGAGUACAACAUGAAGCUGAGGAAUGGAGAUCUUUGUUAGAACUGCCAUUGUAAGAUUUACCAUAUUAAUCCGCCUCUUUAUGCUUCACCUAUCAAUAUGCUGCUUGGAUGACAAAAGGGAUGAAUCGCAAACUGCAAAAACAGUAGGUAAUACAGAUUCCAGUGGCGGAUCCUCGUUUGAUUUUGACUCCUGCAGAAGGAGAGAACUUUACUGGGCCUGCAAGGUUCUAGAAAAUAUCUACAAAGUAGAACUGUGCGAUCAGCCAAAUUCAGAGUGUUUUGUGUUGAGCUCUGACUCAAAGCAGAAUGGUCAUAUUCACUUCCAAGGCAAGGCUUAAUGAUUCCACAGAUCUCUUUGGAUCCAGAGAAAAUGGAUUUUGAUUAGCACAAAUUGAGCUUCUUUCAUUUUAAAAGUACAGUUUAGAAGAGCCUAUUAUGCAAACUGUUGAGUCUAGCUGUUCGUAAUGUGGCAUGAAUGCCAUUAAGAAGGAAAGCAGCAGGGUUCUGAAUUUGGCCAUUGUCAGGGAAUAUCCAGGGAGCAGACUGAACAUGAAGAUGGUUUGCCUUCCCCACUAUGAUGAUAUGCACUGUCUUAGUACUUAAAAUAUUACAGUAAUUGCAUUGUUUAUGAAAUGACCAUUUUAAGUUAUGUCAUUGCAGUUCAGAUUCCAGAAAGCCAUGAAACAGCAUGCUAUAGUUGAUGCCUUAACUGAUGUAACAGUUUUGAUAUGCAUUUCAGUACACAGUAAUGCUAUGCAAACCAUGUUGACUUAUAACUUAUCCUCCCUGAAUGCUCACUUUCUCUUGAACUUUCAGUGUUCAGAUGUGGAGGAUGGACUGCACGGGACCAGCAAAACUGCAAAAAGAGAGAGAGAAAAUGGGGAGAAAAUCCUCUUCUAAGGCUUAGAGCCAUGGGACUAAAAGUUGUGACUUAGAAACAGUAACAGAGAAACAACAUGGAAAACCAGCUUCUGUGACAGAUAACCUCCCAGUCAGUAGCUCAUGAGUUCUACCCAGGAAAUAUACCAUAUUUUUCGCUCCAUAAGACGCACCAAUUUUUUUAGGAGAAGAAAACAGGAAAAUAUAAUCUGUUUUCUUCGCUCCAUAAGACGCACAGACUUUCCACCCCCCCUGUUUUGUGGGAAAAAAGUGUGUCUUAUGGUGCGAAAAAUACGGUAAUAAAAAUAUAAUCAUGACAGGGAGGGGAGGAUCC
rnacentral:lncRNA from 1 species